CGGGGUGCAGCAGGCGCGAAAACUUUGCAAUGCGGGAAACCGUGACAAGGGAACUCUGAGUGCCCGUUAAAUCGGGCUGUCCAUCGGUUUAAAUAACCGGUGAAGAAAGGGCCGGGCAAGACCGGUGCCAGCCGCCGCAGUAAUACCGGCGGCUCGAGUGGUGGCCACUAUUACUGGGCUUAAAGCGUUCGUAGCUGGUUUGUUAAGUCUCUGGGGAAAUCUUCCGGCUUAACCGGAAGGCGUCUCAGGGAUACUGGCAGACUAGGGACCGGGAGAGGUGAGAGGUACUCCAGGGGUAGGAGUGAAAUCCUGUAAUCCUUGGGGGACCACCUGUGGCGAAGGCGUCUCACCAGAACGGCUCCGACAGUGAGGGACGAAAGCUGGGGGAGCAAACCGGAUUAGAUACCCGGGUAGUCCCAGUUGUAAACGAUGCGCGUUAGGUGUAUCGGUGACCACGAGUCACCGAGGUGCCGAAGAGAGAUCGUGAAACGUGCCGCCUGGGAAGUACGGUCGCAAGGCUGAAACUUAAAGGAAUUGGCGGGGGAGCACAAGGGCGAAUCGCG
rnacentral:rRNA from 1 species